CUGACUACUGUGAUAUUAACGUUUUUCUGCGAGCAUAAAUGACAAUUCAUUGAAGCCAUCUACGAGAGCAGGAUUUUCAUUAGUUUUAGAGUUAGCCACAAGAUGGCGUCAAGGCCGACAAAAAUGUAAACAAGCAGACGAUUAAACUACCGAAACAAAAAGCUACUUUUAGUUCAAUCAAGUAAAUCAAAAAUCUUUAAAUUUUUCCCGCUAUGAUCAGCCCGGAGGUAGUAAAUUUUGAUCCGCCAAGAUUUCUGAACCAGGAAUACACUGUGAAAAGAGAUCAAAUAUUGAACAAGGUGCCUUCUGAAGAAUUUGGAAAUCACUUUCAUGGAAUAACUGCAGUUUUGCCCGGUGAAAUACCGGAAAUCGCAGAAAUCCAAGACUUUUUUUUAGAUUCAAUAUUUUACAGAGUUGAAAAAUUCCCCGUUCACAAAUUGUUGGAGCCUGAUUUUCUUUCAGCAUUUAUAAAAAAAGGAAGUCUUGAUGCUCGAACACUUGGGACAUGGUCAGAUGUUGACCAAAGCAUUAUUUUUGAAUCAGGUAAGCUUCACCUUUCUGUCGGGAAAGAUGUUUAUCAAGAAUUGGGAUUAAGUGGACACACAGAAAUAACUUCUUCCAGAAAGCAAACUGCAACAUAUCGUGUGACUAUUGAUGUUCGGGAUGAGAAGUUUAUUCCAGAUUGCAAGUAUUACAAAAGAGUCUUUUGGUGUUUGAAGAAUCAAGUGUGUUUGCAGUUUGACUGGAUUAUGAGUUGGCAACCACAUGAUGUGGACAUAUGCCCUUCCUCCUUUGCUGCUUACCUUGACUUGCUCGGUUUUGGAGUAGCUCAGUGUAAGCCAAUGUUUGAAGAAAGAAUUUUGACUCAAACACAUAUCCCAAUGCUACACCCUGAAACAGAUCUUUUGGAUGUUAUUGAAUGGGUUGGUGCUGCUGCACUGAACAUAACUUGUCCCAAAGAGGAAGACUAUGCAUCAUCCAUGAUUUGCCCAGAGCCCUCUUAUAAGUCAGAAAAGGUUCACAUCUUAAAAUGGAGAGGAUUUUUUCCUUCCUCCCAGGCAAAACAGUUACUUGGUGUGAUUUUAAGGUUGCAUCCAGAAGUAACAGAAACUACUCAGCCUGCUUGGCUUAAUCUCACUUUCCACGGAUUUGACGAAUUCCGAACAGCACCAAAUAUUUGGUCCGUUUUUACAACCACAUCCGACGCAUGCCACGUCUUUACAAGUCAAACAUCAAGAAGAAAAAUCAAGGCCUCCUGUAGUAUUGCACAUUACAGGAUUACUUGGUUUUGCAACGAAGCUUCUUAUCCCUAAGCUUACCAACGUCGAAAAGCAAAGUUGUUUUAUGCUACACUGCAGAUUUAAUUAAGAAAAUUCUUCGCAACUGUUUUUGUAGGCGUUUGGCUUUUUGUCUCUUGUUCGCUCUGCUUUACGACUAGCCUUACAGUCGAGCAACAGCUGGAACAACCAACAGGCACUAAUGCUGAAAUCAACCAAAUGUUGGCUGCAAGGGACACUAGACUGGAAACAUUGGAACGGCAAAAUGUGAAGUACCUUUUGGAUUUUGAUCCUUUAGAUUGUCCUUUUUUUCUCCUGUAAAUAUAGUAUGCAAAUAUUAUGGUUAAUGAUAAGACUACGUUCUAAAUUACAGACGAAAAAGCAAAAAGGUUGAGGUCAUCUAAUUGACGAUGAAGAUGAUGGAACUGGAGCUUAAAAUUCAACAAGAAUCGUUUCUACUCGCCUUGACAGCCUGACUUCUAAAGCCGGCACGAAAAUCGAUUUAGCAUUGGCUGAGAAUAACCUUACCCGACCAGACUGCGACCAAACUCAAUACCGAGAUCCUGCGCGGAUUUCAGAAAUAAUGGUCGUUCUUCAAGCGGAUUGUAUUCGGUAGUCAGAUCCAAAUUCGUGGAAACGGUGAACUGCGAUUUUACAAUGCCAUCAAACGAUGCAAGUAAAUCUAAAUAAAAAAUCUAAAAAUUAA
rnacentral:misc_RNA from 1 species